rnacentral:lncRNA from 1 species
UUGAAACAGAAGUUAGGCAGAGGUUCAUUUAGAUCACUCAAGUCAACGAGAUACUGUUGAUCUGUUUCUUAUUCAUUCAAAAAGGAGUUGAGGGGUACACUCUGAAGGGGAGAGAAAUUCUGGGUUACUCUUUUGAUGAAGGACAAACAAUGCCAAGGAGAACUGAGGAUUAACCUCCAAGGCAAUGGUGUUUCUAAGGUGGAGUUGUCCAUUUGCUCAAGGGAGGGGAGCCUGAGGAAUCCCAUCAGCAUUCCCAUUAAUUAAGCAACACUGGUUCAAUGUUGGGAGC